rnacentral:rRNA from 1 species
GACGUACUUGUACUGAUUGAGAUUUUAACACGAAGUGAGUGGCGAACGGGUGAGUAACACGUGGGUAACCUGCCCAGAAGUAGGGGAUAACACCUGGAAACAGAUGCUAAUACCGUAUAACAGAGAAAACCGCAUGGUUUUCUUUUAAAAGAUGGCUCUGCUAUCACUUCUGGAUGGACCCGCGGCGUAUUAGCUAGUUGGUGAGGUAAAGGCUCACCAAGGCAGUGAUACGUAGCCGACCUGAGAGGGUAAUCGGCCACAUUGGGACUGAGACACGGCCCAGACUCCUACGGGAGGCAGCAGUAGGGAAUCUUCCACAAUGGACGCAAGUCUGAUGGAGCAACGCCGCGUGAGUGAAGAAGGGUUUCGGCUCGUAAAGCUCU